GCUCAACUCGCGUCUUCACUAUUUUUAUAUAAAAACAAGUUUCUCAAAACUGUUGGAACUAAUAAGUGUACAUACAAACAACAACAUGAAGAGGCUACAAAAUACAUCAAACUUUAUAGUAAAACAUUCUUAGAAGUCCAAAAAUCACUAGUAAAUUCCUGGGAUAACUCUGUAAGGAACCUUUUCACAAUACAAUUUCCAGUACUUGCCAUACUUUGCCUUGCAUCGGUCAUCGUCCCUUUUAGCUCGAUCGAGAAGGAGGAUUAUUAGAAAGAUGACGUAGAAGUAGGGAAUGAAGUGGUUGAAAAGAGCUGGUACACUCCAGAAA
rnacentral:misc_RNA from 1 species